AUGCAUCCCCAUGGGGCGCACACAUCUGCACGGGGCACACACAUCCCCAUGGGGCACACACAUCCCCACGGGACACACGCAUCCUCACGGGGCACACGCAUCCCCCCGGGACACACGCAUCCUCACGGGGCACACGCAUCCCCCCGGGGCACACACAUCCCCAUGGGACACACACAUCUGCACGGGGUGCAUGCAUCCCCAUGGGGCACACGCAUCCCCACGGGGCACACGCAUCCCCACGGGACACACGCAUCCCCACGGGACACAGGCAUCCCCACGGGGCACACACAUCCCCAUGGGGCACACACAUCCCAAUGGGGCACAUGCAUCUGCAUGGGGCACACGCAUCCCCACGGGACACACACAUCCCCACGGGACACACGCAUCCCCACGCGGCACACACAUCCGCACGGGGCACACACAUCCCAAUGGGGCACAUGCAUCUGCAUGGGGCACACGCAUCCCCACGGGACACACACAUCCCCACGGGGCACACACAUCCCCACGGGACACACGCAUCCCCACGGGACACACGCAUCCCCAUGGGGCACGCGCAUCCCCACGGGGCACACGCAUCCCCACGGGGCACACACAUCCCCACGGGGCACACGCAUCCCCACGGGGCACACACAUCCCAUGGCUUUAGACACAUCCCCACAGGGCACACACAUCCCCACGGGGCACACACAUCCUCACAGGGCACACACAUCCCCACGGGGCACACACAUCCCCACGGGGCACACACAUCCCCACAGGGAACACACAUCCCCACGGGGGCAUGCACAUCCCCACGGGGCACACACAUCCCCACAGGACACACGCAUCCCCCCAGGACACACACAUCCCCACGGGACACACGCAUCCCCACGGGGCACACACAUCCCCACGGGACACACGCAUCCCCACGGGGCAAACGCAUCCCCACGGGGCACACACAUCCCCACGGGACACACGCAUCCCCACAGGGCACACGCAUCCCCACGGGGCACACACAUCCCCACGGGACACACGCAUCCCCACGGGGCACACACAUCCCCACGGGGCACACACAUCCCCACAGGACACACGCAUCCCCCCAGGACACACACAUCCCCACGGGACACACGCAUCCCCACGGGGCACACGCAUCCCCACGGGGCACACGCAUCCCCACGGGCACACGCAUCCCCACAGCUUGUCGUGAGUGAGGCACCUGAGCUUGCGGAGGUGCCUAGGGUCUGUCGGCCUCUAUCCAAGCCUCAGGUCCAAGUCCGUGCUUGCUGCUGAGUCACGAGCCCUCCCCAGGAC
rnacentral:lncRNA from 1 species